rnacentral:rRNA from 1 species
GGAAUUUUGCACAAUGGGCGAAAGCCUGAUGCAGCGACGCCGCGUGCGGGAUGAAGGCCUUCGGGUUGUAAACCGCUUUCAGGAGGGACGAAAAUGACGGUACCUCCAGAAGACGCCCCGGCCAACUACGUGCCCGCAGCCGCGGUAACACGUAGGGGGCGGGCGUUGGCCGGAUUUAUUGGGCGUAAAGGGCUCGUAGGCGGUUCAGCAAGUCAACUGUGAAAACCCGGGGCUCAACCCCGGGACGCCAGUCGAAACUGCUGUGACUAGGGUCCGGUAGAGGUGAGUGGAAUUCUCGGUGUAGCGGUGAAAUGCGCAGAUAUCGAGAGGAACACCAGUAGCGAAGGCGGCUCACUGGGCCGGUACCGACGCUGAGGAGCGAAAGCGUGGGGAGCAAA